AACGAACGCUGGCGGCAUGCCUAACACAUGCAAGUCGAACGAAGGCUUCGGCCUUAGUGGCGCACGGGUGCGUAACGCGUGGGAAUCUGCCCUUUGGUUCGGAAUAACAGCUGGAAACGGCUGCUAAUACCGGAUGAUGACGAAAGUCCAAAGAUUUAUCGCCAGAGGAUGAGCCCGCGUUGGAUUAGGUAGUUGGUGGGGUAAAGGCCUACCAAGCCGACGAUCCAUAGCUGGUCGGAGAGGAUGAUCAGCCACACUGGGACUGAGACACGGCCCAGACGCCUACGGGAGGCAGCAGUGGGGAAUAUGGGACAAUGGGCGUAAGCCUGCACCGGCAAGGCCGGGUGAGUGAUGAAGGGCCUAGGGUUGUAAAGCUCUUUUACCCGGGAAGAUAAUGACUGUACCGGGAGAAUAAGCCCCGGCUAACUCCGU
rnacentral:rRNA from 1 species